rnacentral:rRNA from 1 species
GUUCUUUUGUUUAUAUAAAAGAUUUGGCCUGCCCCAUGAUUUAUCAUUAAAUGGCUGCAGUAUUUUGACUGUACAAAGGUAGCAUAAUCAUUUGUCUUUUAAUUGGAGUCUAGAAUGAAUGGUUGGAUGAGGGGUAGACUUUCUUUAUUUUAAGUGAAUUAAUUUGAUUUCUAUGUCAAAAAGCGUGGAUAUUGUUAGAGGACGAGAAGACCCUAUAGAACUUUAUUAUCUGAUUUAUAGGCUUGUUUUAGUACUUUAUGUUUUAGGUUUAUAUUUUGUGGUAAUUUUAUUGGGGUGAUAGAAAAAAUAUUAUAACUUUUUCAUUUUUUUACAUUUAUAUAUGUUUGUUUUUGAUCCUUUUUUAUGGAAAAAAGAUUAAGUUACCUUAGGGAUAACAGCGUUAUUUUAUCAUAGAGUUCAUAUCGAUGAUGAAGUUUGCGACCUCGAUGUUGGAUUAAAAUAAGUGGUAGGGGUAGGUUUUUACUUUUUAGGUCUGUUCGACCUUAGAAUUUUUACA